UAGAUGGAGUUUCGCUCUUGUUGCCCAGGCUGGAGUGCACUGGCACAAUCUUGGCUCACUGCAACCUCUGCCUCCCGGGUUCCAGCGAUUUUCAUGCCUCAGCCUCCCAAGUAGCUGCGAUUACAGGGUCUUGUUCUGUCUCCCAGGCUGGAGUGCACGGUCACAAUCAUAGCUCACUGCAGCCUCAGCCUCCCAGGCUCGAGCCAUCCUCCCUCGUCAGCCUCCGAAGUAGCUGGGACUUCAGGCACGUGCCACCACACUUGGCUAGUUUUUAUUUUUUGUAGAAAUGGGGUCUUGCUAUGUUGCCUAGGCUGGUCUCGAACUCCUGGCUUCAAGUGAUCCUCCCGGCUAAGCCUCCCAAUGUGCUGGGAUUACAGGUGUGAGCCACUAUGCCUGGCUCAAUCUCUUCUUAUGCAGGACCUGGGCAACCCAACUCCACAUCCUUGCCUCAGAUAAUUCUUUUGAAAAUGAGGCAAUAUACAAAUAAACACAGAAAUAAAAUGAAAUAAACCUUGCUCCCUCAUGUAA
ensembl:lncRNA novel transcript, antisense to ITGAL